rnacentral:rRNA from 1 species
CCCAUGGCGGGGUUGCCUAAUACAUGCAAGUCGAACGAACUCUGGUAUUGAUUGGUGCUUGCAUCAUGAUUUACAUUUGAGUGAGUGGCGAACUGGUGAGUAACACGUGGGAAACCUGCCCAGAAGCGGGGGAUAACACCUGGAAACAGAUGCUAAUACCGCAUAACAACUUGGACCGCAUGGUCCGAGUUUGAAAGAUGGCUUCGGCUAUCACUUUUGGAUGGUCCCGCGGCGUAUUAGCUAGAUGGUGGGGUAACGGCUCACCAUGGCAAUGAUACGUAGCCGACCUGAGAGGGUAAUCGGCCACAUUGGGACUGAGACACGGCCCAAACUCCUACGGGAGGCAGCAGUAGGGAAUCUUCCACAAUGGACGAAAGUCUGAUGGAGCAACGCCGCGUGAGUGAAGAAGGGUUUCGGCUCGUAAAACUCUGUUGUUAAAGAAGAACAUAUCUGAGAGUAACUGUUCAGGUAUUGACGGUAUUUAACCAGAAAGCCACGGCUAACUACGUGCCAGCAGCCGCGGUAAUACGUAGGUGGCAAGCGUUGUCCGGAUUUAUUGGGCGUAAAGCGAGCGCAGGCGGUUUUUUAAGUCUGAUGUGAAAGCCUUCGGCUCAACCGAAGAAGUGCAUCGGAAACUGGGAAACUUGAGUGCAGAAGAGGACAGUGGAACUCCAUGUGUAGCGGUGAAAUGCGUAGAUAUAUGGAAGAACACCAGUGGCGAAGGCGGCUGUCUGGUCUGUAACUGACGCUGAGGCUCGAAAGUAUGGGUAGCAAACAGGAUUAGAUACCCUGGUAGUCCAUACCGUAAACGAUGAAUGCUAAGUGUUGGAGGGUUUCCGCCCUUCAGUGCUGCAGCUAACGCAUUAAGCAUUCCGCCUGGGGAGUACGGCCGCAAGGCUGAAACUCAAAGGAAUUGACGGGGGCCCGCACAAGCGGUGGAGCAUGUGGUUUAAUUCGAAGCUACGCGAAGAACCUUACCAGGUCUUGACAUACUAUGCAAAUCUAAGAGAUUAGACGUUCCCUUCGGGGACAUGGAUACAGGUGGUGCAUGGUUGUCGUCAGCUCGUGUCGUGAGAUGUUGGGUUAAGUCCCGCAACGAGCGCAACCCUUAUUAUCAGUUGCCAGCAUUAAGUUGGGCACUCUGGUGAGACUGCCGGUGACAAACCGGAGGAAGGUGGGGAUGACGUCAAAUCAUCAUGCCCCUUAUGACCUGGGCUACACACGUGCUACAAUGGAUGGUACAACGAGUUGCGAACUCGCGAGAGUAAGCUAAUCUCUUAAAGCCAUUCUCAGUUCGGAUUGUAGGCUGCAACUCGCCUACAUGAAGUCGGAAUCGCUAGUAAUCGCGGAUCAGCAUGCCGCGGUGAAUACGUUCCCGGGCCUUGUACACACCGCCCGUCACACCAUGAGAGUUUGUAACACCCAAAGUCGGUGGGGUAACCUUUUAGGAACCAGCCGCCUAAGGUGACAGAAGG